rnacentral:rRNA from 1 species
AUUGAACGCUAGCGGGAUGCUUUACACAUGCAAGUCGAACGAGUGGCGGACGGGUGAGUAAUAUAUCGGAACGUGCCCAGUAGCGGGGGAUAACUCCUCGAAAGAGAGGCUAAUACCGAUCACUAUUGGAGCGGCCGAUAUCGGAUUAGCUAGUUGGUGGGGUAAAGGCUAACCAAGGAAAGAAUCCGUAGCGGGUUUGAGAGGACGACCAGCCAAACUGGGACUGAGACACGGCCCAGACUCCUACGGGAGGCAGCAGUGGGGAAUUUUGGACAAUGGGGGAAACCCUGAUGCAGCCAUCCCGCGUGUAUGAGAAGGCCUUCGGGUUGUAAAGUACUUUUGGCAGAGAAGCGGUAUCUGCAGAAGAAGCACCGGCUAACUACGUGCCAGCAGCCGCGGUAAUAC